AGGCAUCUCUUGAAUAUCAAAGGUGAGCCAGUACAGGAUGGACCCGCGUCUGAUUAGCUAGUUGGUAAGGUAACGGCUUACCAAGGCGACGAUCAGUAGCCGACCUGAGAGGGUGAUCGGCCACAUCGGAACUGAGACACGGUCCAAACUCCUACGGGAGGCAGCAGUGGGGAAUAUUGCACAAUGGGCGAAAGCCUGAUGCAGCAACGCCGCGUGAGUGAUGAAGGCCUUCGGGUCGUAAAACUCUGUCCUCAAGGAAGAUAAUGACGGUACUUGAGGAGGAAGCCCCGGCUAACUACGUGCCAGCAGCCGCGGUAAUACGUAGGGGGCUAGCGUUAUCCGGAUUUACUGGGCGUAAAGGGUGCGUAGGCGGUCUUUCAAGUCAGGAGUGAAAGGCUACGGCUCAACCGUAGUAAGCUCUUGAAACUGGGAGACUUGAGUGCAGGAGAGGAGAGUGGAAUUCCUAGUGUAGCGGUGAAAUGCGUAGAUAUUAGGAGGAACACCAGUUGCGAAGGCGGCUCUCUGGACUGUAACUGACGCUGAGGCACGAAAGCGUGGGGAGCAAACAGGAUUAGAUACCCUGGUAGUCCACGCUGUAAACGAUGAGUACUAGGUGUCGGGGGUUACCCCCUUCGGUGCCGCAG
rnacentral:rRNA from 1 species